ACCCAACAGCUAGCCCCCCCACUCAUUUCAACACUCAAUUAUUUAUAACCCCAAAAACACUUAACCCCCCCCCCAAUUAAACCAUUCUACCCCUUUAGUACAGGAGAUGGAAAAAGAACUAGGCGCAAUAGAAAAAGUACCGCAAGGGAACGCUGAAAAAGAAAUGAAAUAAUUCAGUAAAGUACAACAAAGCAGAGCUAUUUCCUCGUACCUUUUGCAUCAUGUUUUAGCUAGAGUUUAUCAAGCAAAAAGCAUUUUAGUUUGAUUACCCGAAACCAGACGAGCUACUUCAAGACAGCCUAACAAAUAGGGCUAACCCGUCUCUGUGGCAAAAGAGUGGGGAGAGCUUCAAGUAGAGGUGAUAAACCUACCGAGCCUGGUUAUAGCUGGUUACCUGAAAAUUGAAUAGAAGUUCAGCCUCUCGAAUUCUUAAAUCCCCCUGACUCAUCCUCCAUCAAGAUUAAAAGAAGUCUAGAGAGUUAUUCAAAAGGGGUACAGCCCUUUGAAACAAGAUACAACUUUACUUAGGCGGAU
rnacentral:rRNA from 1 species